rnacentral:rRNA from 1 species
UAGGGAAUAUUAGUAAUGGGCGAAAGCCUGAACUAGCAACACCGCGUGUGCGAAGAAGGCCUUCGGGUUGUAAAGCACUUUUUGAGAGGAUGAGGAAGGACGGUACUCUCAGAAUAAGUCUCGGCUAACUACGUGCCAGCAGCCGCGGUAACACGUAGGAGGCAAACGUUAUCCGGAUUUACUGGGCGUAAAGCGCGUGUAGGUGGUUUGGUAAGUAGAGCGUGAAAGCUCCUGGCUCAACUGGGAGAGGUCGUUCAAAACUACAAGACUUGAGAUUGGUAGAGGAAAAUGGAAUUCCGGGUGUAGUGGUGAAAUGCGUAGAUAUCCGGAGGAACACCAGUGGCGAAAGCGGUUUUCUGGACCAAUUCUGACACUCAGAUGCGAAAGCUAAGGUAGCAAACG